UACGGGGGGGGCAAGCGUUGUUCGGAAUUACUGGGCGUAAAGGGCUCGUAGGUGGCCAACUAAGUCAGACGUGAAAUCCCUCAGCUUAACUGGGGAACUGCGUCUGAUACUGGAUGGCUUGAGUUUGGGAGAGGGAUGCGGAAUUCCAGGUGUAGCGGUGAAAUGCGUAGAGAUCCGGAAGAACACCGGUGGCGAAGGCGGCCUGCUGGGCAGUUGCUGGACACUGAGGCGCGACAGCGUGGGGAGCAAACAGG
rnacentral:rRNA from 1 species